rnacentral:rRNA from 1 species
GUGGCGGACGGGUGAGUAACACGUGGGAACGUGCCCUUUGGUACGGAAUAACUCAGGGAAACUUGAGCUAAUACCGUAUGUGCCCUUCGGGGGAAAGAUUUAUCGCCAUUGGAGCGGCCCGCGUCUGAUUAGCUAGUUGGUGAAGUAACGGCUCACCAAGGCGACGAUCAGUAGCUGGUCUGAGAGGAUGACCAGCCACAUUGGGACUGAGACACGGCCCAAACUCCUACGGGAGGCAGCAGUGGGGAAUCUUGCGCAAUGGGCGAAAGCCUGACGCAGCCAUGCCGCGUGGAUGAUGAAGGUCUUAGGAUUGUAAAAUCCUUUCACCGGUGAAGAUAAUGACUGUAGCCGGAGAAGAAGCCCCGGCUAACUUCGUGCCAGCAGCCGCGGUAAUACGAAGGGGGCUAGCGUUGCUCGGAAUUACUGGGCGUAAAGGGCGCGUAGGCGGACAUUUAAGUCAGGGGUGAAAUCCCAGAGCUCAACUCUGGAACUGCCUUUGAUACUGGAUGUCUUGAGUGUGAGAGAGGUAUGUGGAACUCCGAGUGUAGAGGUGAAAUUCGUAGAUAUUCGGAAGAACACCAGUGGCGAAGGCGACAUACUGGCUCAUUACUGACGCUGAGGCGCGAAAGCGUGGGGAGCAAACAGGAUUAGAUACCCUGGUAGUCCAC